CUCGACCAAGCACAAAUUACAAUCAUACCAUCCAAUUCUCCUCCAUAGGAUCUUCUCCUGUCCCUUCAACAAAAUCUCAUCUAUCUAUUCCUUCUCCAUAUCAUCAAUCCAAGAGGAGAAGGGAUGUGCCAAUCUUCUUCGACCUAGCAUCCCUUUUUGUAUUAAUUUUUCUCCCUAAUCUUAGACUUCCAUCUCUUUGAUUCUUCUGUCUCUCCUGUAACCAAUGAGACUUUAUCCUUUCAUAUUAAUCAUGGCCA
rnacentral:lncRNA from 1 species